rnacentral:rRNA from 1 species
UCGAACGGAGCUUAGAGAGCUUGCUUUUUAAGCUUAGUGGCGAACGGGUGAGCAAUGCGUGAGUAACCUGCCCUAGAGUGGGGGACAACAGUUGGAAACGACUGCUAAUACCGCAUAAGCCCACGGUGCCGCAUGGCACUGAGGGAAAAGGAUUUAUUCGCUUUAGGAUGGACUCGCGUCCAAUUAGCUAGUUGGUGAGGUAACGGCCCACCAAGGCGACGAUUGGUAGCCGGACUGAGAGGUUGAACGGCCACAUUGGGACUGAGACACGGCCCAGACUCCUACGGGAGGCAGCAGUGGGGGAUAUUGCACAAUGGGGGAAACCCUGAUGCAGCGACGCCGCGUGGAGGAAGAAGGUUUUCGGAUUGUAAACUCCUGUCGUUAGGGACGAUAAUGACGGUACCUAACAAGAAAGCACCGGCUAACUACGUGCCAGCAGCCGCGGUAAAACGUAGGGUGCAAGCGUUGUCCGGAAUUACUGGGUGUAAAGGGAGCGCAGGCGGGAAGACAAGUUGGAAGUGAAAACCAUGGGCUCAACCCAUGAAUUGCUUUCAAAACUGUUUUUCUUGAGUAGUGCAGAGGUAGAUGGAAUUCCCGGUGUAGCGGUGGAAUGCGUAGAUAUCGGGAGGAACACCAGUGGCGAAGGCGGUCUACUGGGCACCAACUGACGCUGAGGCUCGAAAGCAUGGGUAGCAAACAGGAUUAGAUACCCUGGUAGUCCAUGCCGUAAACGAUGAUUACUAGG